rfam:Actinomyces nasicola strain DSM 19116 Scaffold38, whole genome shotgun sequence.
UUCUGACAUCUUUCACAACGGAUCGUCCGGCACGUACCUGCCGGUGAAGGGAUGUACUG